AUUGAACGCUGGCGGCAUGCCUAACACAUGCAAGUCGAACGGCAGCACGGUCUGGUUUACCAGAUGGGUGGCGAGUGGCGAACGGGUGAGUAAAGCGUAGGAAUAUACCUUAAAGAGGGGGAUAACCUGGGGAAACUCAGGCUAAUACCGCGUAAACUCUGCGGAGCAAAGCUGGGGACCGAAAGGCCUGGCGCUUUAAGAAUAGCCUGCGUCCGAUUAGCUAGUUGGUGGGGUAAAGGCUCACCAAGGCGACGAUCGGUAGCUGGUCUGAGAGGACGAACAGCCACACUGGGACUGAGACACGGCCCAGACUCCUACGGGAGGCAGCAGUGGGGAAUAUUGGACAAUGGGGGGAACCCUGAUCCAGCAAUGCCGCGUGUGUGAAGAAGGCCUGAGGGUUGUAAAGCACUUUCAGUGGGAGGAGGAGUUACUAGGUUAAGAGCCAGGUAAUUGGACGUUACCCACAGAAGAAGCACCGGCUAACUCCGUG
rnacentral:rRNA from 1 species